rnacentral:rRNA from 1 species
AUUGAACGCUGGCGGCAUGCUUUACACAUGCAAGUCGAACGGUAACAGGUUAAGCUGACGAGUGGCGAACGGGUGAGUAAUGCAUCGGAACGUGCCCGGUCGUGGGGGAUAACGCAGCGAAAGCUGCGCUAAUACCGCAUACGAUCUGAGGAUGAAAGCGGGGGACCGUAAGGCCUCGCGCGAUCGGAGCGGCCGAUGUCAGAUUAGGUAGUUGGUGGGGUAAAGGCUCACCAAGCCAACGAUCUGUAGCUGGUCUGAGAGGACGACCAGCCACACUGGGACUGAGACACGGCCCAGACUCCUACGGGCGGCAGCAGUGGGGAAUUUUGGACAAUGGGCGAAAGCCUGAUCCAGCAAUGCCGCGUGCAGGAAGAAGGCCUUCGGGUUGUAAGCUGCUUUUGUACGGAGCGAAAAGGUCUCCUCUAAUACAGGGGGCUCAUGACGGUACCGUAAGAAUAAGCACCGGCUAACUACGUGCCAGCCGCCGCGGUAA